rnacentral:rRNA from 1 species
UACGUAGGGGGCAAGCGUUGUCCGGAAUCAUUGGGCGUAAAGCGCGCGUAGGCGGCCCGGUAAGUCCGUUGUGAAAGUCAAAGGCUCAACCUUUGAACGCCGAUGGAUACUGCCGGGCUAGAGUCCGGAAGAGGCGAGUGGAAUUCCUGGUGUAGCGGUGAAAUGCGCAGAUAUCAGGAGGAACACCGGUGGCGAAGGCGGGUCUCUGGGCCGUAACUGACGCUGAGGAGCGAAAGCGUGGGGAGCGAACAGG